rnacentral:rRNA from 1 species
CGAACGGGUGAGUAACGCGUGAGGAACCUGCCUCAAAGAGGGGGACAACAGUUGGAAACGACUGCUAAUACCGCAUAAGCCCACGGUGCCGCAUGGCACAGAGGGAAAAGGAGCAAUCCGCUUUGAGAUGGCCUCGCGUCCGAUUAGCUAGUUGGUGAGGUAACGGCCCACCAAGGCGACGAUCGGUAGCCGGACUGAGAGGUUGAACGGCCACAUUGGGACUGAGGCACGGCCCAG